rnacentral:tRNA from 1 species
GCAUCGGUGGUUAAAUGGUAGAAUUCUUGCCUUCCAUGCAGGAGACCUGGGUUCAAUUCCCAGCCAAAGCA